CUGGAACAGGAAUUUCUGAUGUCCUUUUUCCUCUAUUCAUGGUUCCCAAAAAUCACCCCUCCCUCUUCUUGACAGCAGCAACAGGCAGAGGAAAGAAUGCUUUUGACUUACAGAAGUCACUAGAGUGGUACAGUCACAAAGAUACAAGAAGGGCUUGGGACCCACAGAGUUCUGAGGAAGGAUGGAGGCAAUGAAUUGGGGUAUCUGAGACCCUCAAGUCAGCCCAGUUUCCCUAAGAAGGUAUCACUGCUCUCAAACCCUUGCCUGCAUUCCUGAUAUCUCAUUGCCCUGCCAACUGUACCCCCAUAUCCAUUCUCUUUUCACUCAUAGCAAUAAAACAGUCCAUUGGUAGCUGGACUCAUGGCUCCCAAAUUAAACCCUCCAUCUGCCAGCCUCCCUUGCAGGUAUAUGUGGCUGUGUAUUUAACUUUUUGGUGAAUGGAAAUAUAGCCUUAAGAUGAUGUGUGAUCCAGGUCAUGCCCUUAAAAGGAAGGGGCAUAUCCACCCCUUUACCUGUUCCCACUUGCUGCUGGCUGAAGUCCAGAUGCAAUGAUGAACCACACUGGACUCACCAGACAAGAGUGAUGCUCUGGAGAUGGCAAAGCAACAUGAGGAGGAAUCUGUACCCUCUCAAGAGCUAUGCCAUUGAGCUGCCAUACUAGCCUGGACUUCUACAUAAGACAGAAAUAGAUAAAUAGAUUUUGAUUUAUUUUUUUGACCAGUGUUAUUUUGGGUUUCUGUUUCAUCAGUCUUACAUACACAUUUCCUGCCCAAGUACACUCUUUUUUUUGUUGUUGUUGAGAGGGAAUCUUGCUCUGUCACCCAGGUUGGAGUGUGGUGGUGCGAUCUUGGCUCACUGCAAG
rnacentral:lncRNA from 1 species